GCGCGAGAACUUUACAAUGCUGGCAACAGCGAUAAGGGAACCUCGAGUGCCAGGUUACAAAUCUGGCUGUCGAGAUGCCUAAAAAGCAUUUCAUAGCAAGGGCCGGGCAAGACCGGUGCCAGCCGCCGCGGUAACACCGGCGGCUCGAGUGGUAACCGUUACUAUUGGGUCUAACGGGCCUGUAGCCGGCCGGAUAAGUCUCUUGAGAAAUCUGGCAGCUUAACCGUCAGGCUUUCAGGAGAUACUGUCUGGCUCGAGGCCGGGAGAGGUGAGAGGUACUUCAGGGGUAGGGGUGAAAUCUUGUAAUCCUUGAAGGACCACCAGUGGCGAAGGCGUCUCACCAGAACGGACCUGACGGCAAGGGACGAAAGCUAGGGGCACGAACCG
rnacentral:rRNA from 1 species